AUCGCUUGUGUUUGUCCCUUGAUGUAUCGCUUGUUUUUAUCCCUUGAUGUAUCCCUCGUUUUUAUCCCUUGAUGUAUCCCUGAUUUUUAUCCCUUAUUUUUAUCCCUUAUUUUUAUCCCUUAUUUUUAUCCCUUAUUUUUAUCCCUUAUUUUUUUAUCCCUUAUUUUUUUAUCCCUUGUUUUUUUAUCCCUUGAAAUUGUUAAAACCCUUAGAAUUUGUCAUAGAAUUUUAUCCCAUAAGUUUUAUCCUUUAUUUUUAUCCCUUAUUUUUAUCCCUUAUUUUUAUCCCAUAAAUUUUUAUCCCUUUAACCCUGAGAUUUUAUCCUGUAAAAUUAUCCCAUAUUAUCCAUAAUUUUUUUUAAUCCCAAAUUUCUAUCCCAUAAUUAUCUCAAAUAAUUUUAUAUUAUUUAUUCCUUAUAGAUACCAUACAAGACUUUUCAAACUUUCACAUAUUUUAAUAAUUAGUUGAAAAAAUUAUAAAGGCUAAUAUAAGUUAUAUACAAACAUACUUAACUCAUAAAAAUGUUAAACAAAAUUUCGAAGCAAUUAUAAUAGCAAAAUAUGUAUAUUAAGGUGUAAAAAAAAAGAACCAACCUACGGGAUCGAGGUAUAUCCCGGUGAACCAAAUUAUUAAGCCUUUGAACUCUCUCCCUUCUUAUGUGCUUGAUUCGAUCUUUUCCUUCUUCCUUUUUCUUUUGUCCUUGAACUGAUCUUCCCCUUUUGCGAAUAGGUGCCGACAGAAAUUUUAUGAUAUGUAUUUUGUGAAUUAUCGAUCCCUUCUCUAUCCCUUUUUCCUCCCCUCCUGAUUGUUAGUUUUGGAC
rnacentral:lncRNA from 1 species